rnacentral:rRNA from 1 species
UGGGGAAUAUUGCACAAUGGGCGCAAGCCUGAUGCAGCCAUGCCGCGUGUAUGAAGAAGGCCUUCGGGUUGUAAAGUACUUUCAGCGGGGAGGAAGGGAGUAAAGUUAAUACCUUUGCUCAUUGACGUUACCCGCAGAAGAAGCACCGGCUAACUCCGUGCCAGCAGCCGCGGUAAUACGGAGGGUGCAAGCGUUAAUCGGAAUUACUGGGCGUAAAGCGCACGCAGGCGGUUUGUUAAGUCAGAUGUGAAAUCCCCGGGCUCAACCUGGGAACUGCGUCUGAUACUGGCAAGCUUGAGUCGCGUAGAGAGGGGUAGAAUUCCAGGUGUAGCGGUGAAAUGCGUAGAGAUCUGGGGGAAUACCGGUGGCGAAGGCGGCCCACUGAACGAAGACUGACGCUAAGGUGCGAAAGCGUGGGGAGCAAACAGG